GACAGAGGGUGCAAACGUUGUUCGGAAUUACUGGGCGUAAAGCGAGUGUAGGCGGUUUGGAAAGUCGGAUGUGAAAGCCCCGGGCUCAACCCGGGAAGUGCACUCGAUACUCCCAAGCUAGAGUAUCGGAGAGGUUGGCGGAAUUCUCGGUGUAGAGGUGAAAUUCGUAGAUAUCGAGAGGAACACCGGCGGCGAAGGCGGUCUCCUGGGGCACACUUGACGCUGAGACGCGAAAGCUGGGGGAGCGAACGGG
rnacentral:rRNA from 1 species